AAUCAGCCAGGAAUCGUUUGA
rnacentral:miRNA from 1 species